AGGCCUGAAGUGCAAGGGGGCGAGGCCUGCAGGGGCCGACUGGGGACAGAAGGGACCAACUGGGGCAAGGGCCUGGGGCUGUUAUAACCUCCCUCCUCUCACACUUUGGUCUCUGAGCACGAUGACUUUUGUUGAGAAAUGCUGCUGGUGCUGGUGGUGGCAUUGGGUUCCAAACGCAGUGGCUGCCGGCAGACGACUUUCACAAGGGCAUUCUGAGCUGUAUGAUACAAACUGCUAAUUGUAUCAACACGAAGAAGGAGAUGGCUCUGAAGAAGGUGGGUGAGGACAUUGGACUACCUGACAUUUUUUUCGAGGAAGCUGAAGAGUCUCAGGGGCUAGCAUCUGAAGCAGAGGAAGGAGUCAGAGAGAAGGAGCAGGUCAGCGACAGAGAACAGACACAUAUUUGCAGGUUGUAUACUCACAGAAGGCACUAAUCAUGGCUCUAAGAAUACAGUCUACCUGAAUCCCUUCUCUUAAUUUUGUUCUUCUAGAAUUGUCCUCUGUCUGGAGACGGUGGAUGGCAGGAGCCAUUUGAAUCCAGAGAGGUGUAACUGUGGUCUGUGAAGUCCAAUAAGUCAAACCAACAGUAUAUCACUCAAACACAAACAGUUUCAGUAAUGGGAGAAGUUGUUGUACUCAAGUGUUCAACUAUAGCAAGCAUUACCAGGGUCCCGGGAAGUUACAAUACAAGAGACUUUAGCAAGAUGGCUGUCGGCAAUGAGCCCUUAAUUAAUGGUGUUUCCUCAGGACUAAAAUACUGAAGUGCAAUGUGAACUAUGCUAAACUCAUUGGGAGGCAGCUAACAACUAAUCAUCCCUAGAGCAGCAGCAUGUGUGUCUGUAAGUGUGAGAGACUAUUCAUGUCCGAGCACAUUACAGUUAAUGUGGUGGGCAACAAGUUGACAUUCCACAUUAAUUGUGUUCCUUGGAAGAGGUGUUAGCUAAGCCACUGGCCGGUAGACUUAAGCACAAUUAAUGUGAUCCCCAGUAGCAGGUCCUGGCCCGCAUUCCACUUUCUCUCAAUCAGCCGACCGACACGUUAUCUGUUCCGUGUUCACCAAAUCUAAUCAGCUGGGUGAUUGCUCUUUUCCCUGUUUGGCUCCAGUGAGUGAUAUUUAAAAAAAGACUCUGCAGUGACCAACCCCAAGACAAGUCGUGCUCUGGGCCCUCAAAGACGUGUGAUAAUUGACUUAAUAUGCAGGGUGAAUGCUGAGAACGUGCCGCUCACUAGUGCAGCCGAAGACCUGCUAAGUAUGUGUGCUGUUACAGGAGCCACGGAGCUUGGACAGUGAGGGUCUAUGCUUAACAACACAAAAAUGUAUUGGUUUUUAAUGCUUCAUUGGUUUCAGCGCCACUCAGUGACCUCAUUGCUUUAAAAUUGCAGCUGAUGAAAAGGGGGAAAUAUCAUUUGGCUUGAAAUAGGCACGCUGCAUUUCACAGGCAAUUAGCUGUGUAGCCACCAAACUGGACUUCAGUCUCAUACUGUGAGUCAAACAGGCACAGAGACCAUGUAGGCCUGAACAAAUUAAAUCCUCUUGCAGCUAUAUAACUGUGAAAUUAAUACUAAAAGGAACCUCUUGAAAGUCUAGGAAAUUGUCCACAGUGAUACUUCACAGUAGCCUGACGUUGUCAGACUCACAAUUCUAGUCAGAAUGUGAGUCUGAGACCGCUCCAUUGGGCUGUGAUUAUGGGGCGUGUUUCAACUGACCAGGAAGUAAAAUUCCUCUUCGCUCAAUUGGAUAGACCUACAACCAAUCAGAGCAACGUAGUAUGUGACGUAUGCUAAGCAACGCAUUGUGAGUUAUUUACUAACGCCGGGUUCACACCGGACGCUUCAGCGCAGCGCCAAGCCUUAAAUAACAGCUGGCUCCCAUCCACUCCCAUGUUAAAACUUU